rnacentral:rRNA from 1 species
UCCUGGCUCAGAACGAACGCUGGCGGCGCGUUUUAAGCAUGCAAGUCGAACGGUAACCAUCCUUCGGGAUGGCUAGAGUGGCGAACGGGUGAGUAACACGUAGGUGAUCUGCCCUUGAGUUGGGGAUAGCCCAUGGAAACAUGGGGUAAUACCGAAUACGCUCGCGACCCUGUGGGGAUGUGAGGAAAAGCGCUUCGGCGCUGCUCGAGGAUGAGCCUGCGGCUGAUUAGUUAGUUGGUGGGGUAACGGCCUACCAAGGCGACGAUCAGUAGCCGGCCUGAGAGGGUGAGCGGCCACACUGGGACUGAGAUACGGCCCAGACUCCUACGGGAGGCAGCAGCUAAGAAUCUUCUACAAUGGACGAAAGUCUGAUAGAGCGACGCCGCGUGGGUGAUGAAGGCCGGAAGGUUGUAAAGCCCUUUUCUAUUCGAGGAAUAAGGUGUGGAGGCAAUGCCACACUGAUGACGGUAGGGUAGGAAUAAGCCCCGGCCAAUUACGUGCCAGCAGCCGCGGUAACACGUAUGGGGCGAGCGUUGUUCGGAAUCAUUGGGCGUAAAGGGCGCGUAGGCGGAUAUGCAAGCUUGGUGUGAAAGACCGCAGCUCAACUGCGGGAGCGCGCUGAGAACUGCAUAUCUUGAGUUCAAGAGGGGAAGCUGGAAUUCCAGGUGUAGGGGUGACAUCUGUAGAUAUCUGGAAGAACAUCAGUGGCGAAGGCGAGCUUCUGGCUUUGAACUGACGCUGAGGCGCGAAAGCGUGCGGAGCGAACAG